rnacentral:rRNA from 1 species
GUCCACGCCGUAAACGAUGGGCACUAGAUGCCGGUGGGAACGACCCCAUCGGUGUCGAAGCUAACGCAUUAAGUGCCCCGCCUGGGGAGUACGGCCGCAAGGCUGAAACUCAAAGGAAUUGACGGGGGCCCGCACAAGCGGUGGAGCAUGUGGUUUAAUUCGAAGCAACGCGAAGAACCUUACCUGGGCUUGACAUGCUGGUGAAAGGUCAUGGAAACAUGGCCCAUCCUUCGGGACUCCAGCACAGGUGCUGCAUGGCUGUCGU